GUGAUCUUCAAUGUAGCCGAAAACCCAAAAGGUGAUGGAAAGCGAUUCAUCCUCCCACUAAGAAGAUGGACAAUGCAAGCGGCUCACCUAGAUACGAUUACAAGAAAGAUCUCGAUUGUAGGAAUAAAUAAGUGCCUAUUUCAUCAUGAAUUUCUCUUUUUAAAUUGCUUUAAAUAGUAGUUAUGUUUUAAUUACCAGCGAAGACAUGGAAACCAUUAGUUCUGUUGAGUGCAUGAUGAAAUCGACACAAACAAUACUAGGGGCAUAAAAAGAACGCCAUGGGAUUAUCAACAAAAUGAUAAUCACCCAUCAACCAGAUUAUCAGCAAUUUGAAAUUUCAUCAAAUAUGAAUACCCGUCAACCCUCUGCUUCUUUAUUUUGACCAGAUUUGGGGUGGAGGAUGGGGGCUGGGGCUCUGGGUUCGUGGGUGCUGGGGUUGCAUGCUAUGGUAGAGGGUGGCUAUGAGAUAGGUUUGAGGGUUGGAGCUUGUAGGUGAUAGUCAUGGGGGAAUGAGGGAAGAAGAAAUCUUCGGGGGAAGAGGGAGAGCGCACAGGAGGGGAGAGGGGAGACAGAGGGAGAGAAAAUUAUGAAUUUCCCAAUUUGCCCUUAAUUUUGACAGAAAAUUUAACUAAGUUGACGGAAAGACCAAUG
rnacentral:lncRNA from 1 species